rnacentral:rRNA from 1 species
GCAUAUCAAUAAGCAGAGGAAAAGAAACUAACAAAGGAUUCCCCUAGUAACUGCGAGUGAAGCGGGAAAAGCUCAAAUUUAAAAUCUGGUGGUCUUUAGCCAUCCGAGUUGUAAUUUAGAGAAGCAUCUUCCGCGCUGGACCGUGCACAAGUCUCCUGGAAUGGAGCGUCAUAGAGGGUGAGAAUCCCGUCUUUGGCACGGACAUGUCAGUGCUUUUGUGAUGUGCUCUCAAAGAGUCGAGUUGUUUGGGAAUGCAGCUCAAAAUGGGUGGUGAACUCCAUCUAAAGCUAAAUAUUGGCGAGAGACCGAUAGCGAACAAGUACCGUGAGGGAAAGAUGAAAAGCACUUUGGAAAGAGAGUGAAACAGUACGUGAAAUUGUUGAAAGGGAAACGCUUGAAGUCAGUCGUGUUGACCAAGACUCAGCCUUGCCUUGGCUUGGUGUAAUUCUUGGCUGACAGGUCAGCAUCAAUUUUGUCUCUUGGAUAAUGGUAAGGGAAAUGUGACACCUUUAUGGUGUGUUAUAGUCUCUUGUCGCAUGCAAGGGAUGAGAUUGAGGAACUCAGCACGCACCUUUUAGGUGUCGGGGCUUUGCCCACGAUACGUGCUUAGGAUGUUGGCAUAAUGGCUUUAAACGACCCGUCUUGAAACACGGACCAAGGAGUCUAACAUACCUGCGAGUGUUUGGGUGGAAAACCCGUGCGCGUAAUGAAAGUGAAAGUUGGGACCUUUGUCGUGAAGGGCACCGACGCCCGGACCAGACCUUCUGUGACGGCUCUGCGGUAAAGCAUGUAUGUUAGGACCCGAAAGAUGGUGAACUAUGCCUGAAUAGGGUGAAGCCAGAGGAAACUCUGGUGGAGGCUCGUAGCGAUUCUGACGUGCAAAUCGAUCGUCAAAUUUGGGUAUAGGGGCGAAAGACUAAU